AUUGAACGCUGGCGGCGUGCCUAAUACAUGCAAGUCGAACGCAGUGGGGACGGGUGAGUAACACGUGGGUAACCUCCCAUCAGAGGGGAUAAAACUUGGAAACAGGUGCUAAACCGAUAGUGAUGGAUGGACCCGGGGUGGAUGAGCUAGUUGGGGAGGUAACGGCUCACCAGGGCCACGAUGCAUAGCCGGCCGGAGAGGGUGAGCGGCCACACGGGGACUGAGACACGGCCCAGACUCCUACGGGAGGCAGCAGUAGGGAAUCUUCGGCAAUGGACGAAAGUCUGACCGAGCAACGCCGCGUGAGUGAAGAAGGUUUUCGGAUCGUAAAACUCUGUUGUUAGAGAAGCGGUAUCUAACCAGAAAGCCACGGCUAACUACGUGCCAGCAGCCGCGGUAAUUC
rnacentral:rRNA from 1 species